CAGCCGCCGCGGGAAUACGGAGGGUGCAAGCGUUAAUCGGAAUUACUGGGCGUAAAGCGCACGCAGGCGGUCUGUCAAGUCAGAUGUGAAAUCCCCGGGCUUAACCUGGGAACUGCAUUUGAAACUGGCAGGCUAGAGUCUUGUAGAGGGGGGUAGAAUUCCAGGUGUAGCGGUGAAAUGCGUAGAGAUGUGGAGGAAUACCGAUGGCGAAGGCAGCCCCCUGGGCCAAUACUGACGCUCAUGCACGAAAGCGUGGGGAGCAAACAGGAUUAGAUACCCGCGUAGUCCCUGUCUCUUAUAC
rnacentral:rRNA from 1 species